GAUUCUAAUAUUCUAUAAUGGCCUGUUUGGGAGCUUGAAUUUCAUUUGAAAUUCUGGAUUUGAGCAAAUGACAUGUUUGGAUACACAAAAAAUUUGGAUUUGAAUUUCAUUUCAAAUCCAGGACAUUCAAAUACUAGUGUAAAGGCUAUCAAUGAGUUUAAAAAGGGAAAGGUUGAAUACAGGGCGGAUAAAACUGGGAUAGUUCACUUGCCUUUCGGGAAGGCUAAUUUUUCAGAGGAAGAUCUUCUUGUAAACUUGCUUGCCGCAGUGAAAUCAGUAGAAUCGAACAAGCCCCCUGGUGCAAAAGGAGUAUACUGGAAAAGUGCACAUGUAUGUUCAUCGAUGGGGCCUUCCAUCAAAUUAAAUAUAAGGGACAUGCUUGAUUUCAAAUUGCCAACUGAUCUUUGAAGGAUGUAAGUAAAGUUUUAGUAUCCUCUGAAGUACACUUCCCUCUUUGGUCUCCGCGUAUGGAGAUUCUAGUUCUUAGAAGAUAGUACAGAGUUGAAGGGAGAGCCUUAAAUUGCCUGUUGUGGUAAAAUAGUUACUCAGAGAUCAUUCCUUAUGUGCCACUUCAACACAAUCUUGUAUUACUGACUGACGCAUUUACGGUUAUAGAAAAUAUUAUAUAUUA